rnacentral:rRNA from 1 species
CUACGGGUUGCAGCAGUGAGGAAUAUUGCACAAUGGGGGAAACCCUGAUGCAGCAACGCCGCGUGGAGGAUGACGCAUUUCGGUGUGUAAACUCCUUUUAUAUGUCAAGAAAAUGACGGUAGCAUAUGAAUAAGCACCGGCUAACUCCGUGCCAGCAGCCGCGGUAAUACGGAGGGUGCAAGCGUUACUCGGAAUCACUGGGCGUAAAGGACGCGUAGGCGGGUUGGUAAGUCAGGUGUGAAAUCCUACAGCUUAACUGUAGAACUGCACUUGAAACUACCAACCUAGAGUAUGGGAGGGGGAGAUGGAAUUAGUGGUGUAGGGGUAAAAUCCGUAGAUAUCACUAGGAAUACCGAAAGCGAAGGCGAUCUCCUGGAACAUAACUGACGCUAAGGCGUAAAAGCGUGGGGAGCAAACAGGAUUAGAUACCCCCGUAGUC